CCUUCUGAUUGGCUGAUCGACAGAGAGGGAGAAGGGGGAUGCAUGCCAUCCAGAUCUUGGCUUAUUCAUUGACCUGCAUAAUAUAUACAGUAAUGGGUUAGUAAAUAAAUACCCCGCUAAUUGAGUUGGUUACCGACUAAAAUAUGUCCGUCACAGUCUUGACGAACGAGAGAAAAAUAAUCGUAGAAGUGUGGUCACUGUGAGCUACACGAUUAACAAUCGACAGCCAAGAGAUAGAAAAGGAGUAUACUUGCGGCUACGCGAUUGCACCGGCACACAAAAUGCAGAAUACAACUAUACAUACAUAAAUAUGCUAUUCUGCCGGCGCGUCCAUGUUCACACUUGCAAAUCUCGCCAAAAUACAAAAUCAAAUAGAUGAUGGAGUAGUUAAUAUGCUUAAUUUAGAGGUCAGUACUAGUAGCGCAAGCAAAUGAACUGGCAUGCACGAGAGAGCGUUUUCUUUUCUUUUUCUUUUUUUUGCGGAAGACACUCAAAAGGUAACACUGGAAAUCCUUGAGAAGAUUGAAAUAGUAAGACAAUAAGAAAAUUUAUGCUUUACUGUCUCCCGUCUGAAAAAGUGUGUCCUUUUCGUAAUACAUGCCAGUUAAACUCUGUGGACAUAAAUUAACACUGUGAGCCAUCAGCACUAGGGCCAAACGCCGAACCACGAAACAUUGGGCAGAGGAUAACGCCAAACUGGGAAAAUAUCUCGUGGGAAAUGGUUGUACGAAUCAGGUGGCGGAAGCCGGCAAGUCUGGUCUCACCAAUAACUAGUGCUUGUCUUUGCUUGACACAUCCAUUAACUAAGACACAAGACGAGAAGAUUGACACUUUCUUGUAGCCUAGCUACUUCUACAAAAUUGAUGAUGUGCUUCUAGCUAGCUGGAAUUCAAUAUAUAUUACUGGAGUAUUUCGUUAGGAAAUCUUCAGAGCGGACCGAUGUUGGUCAGAGUUAAA